GCAUGGGAAAUGGAAUAAAGGUGAGUUCCGUUUUGUGAUCAUUUUGUCAGUUACAGCUUAUAGCAUUCCGGAAUUCAAUCCAAUACAUGACACAACACUCAGUUCUGGCCAUG